CAAUAGCGUAUAUUAAAGUUGUUGCAGUUAAAACGCUCGUAGUCGGAUUUCGGGGCGGGUCCGCCGGUCUGCCGAUGGGUACGCACUGGCGGGCGCGUCCUUCCUUCCGGAGACUGGCCCUACUCUUAGCUGAGCGGGGUCGGGGGUCGGAUCGUUUACUUUGAAAAAAUCAGAGUGUUUCAAGCAGGCAGCUCGCUCUUGCAUGGAUUAGCAUGGGAUAAUGAAAUAGGACUUUGGUGCUAUUUUGUUGGUUUCGAACACCGAAGUAAUGAUUAACAGGGACAGUCAGGGGCACUCGUAUUCCGCCGAGAGAGGUGAAAUUCUCAGACCAGCGGAAGACGAACCACUGCGAAAGCAUUUGCCAGGGAUGUUUUCACUGA
rnacentral:rRNA from 1 species